rnacentral:rRNA from 1 species
UACGGGGGGAGCAAGCGUUAUCCAGAUUUACUGGGCGUAAAGCGUGCGCAGGCGGUUUUGUAAGUCUGUCAUGAAAGCCCCGGGCUCAACCUGGGAAUUGCGAUGGAGACUGCAAGGCUUGAAUCUGGCAGAGGGGGGUAGAAUUCCACGUGUAGCAGUGAAAUGCGUAGAGAUGUGGAGGAACACCGAUGGCGAAGGCAGCCCCCUGGGUCAAGAUUGACGCUCAUGCACGAAAGCGUGGGGAGCAAACAGG